rnacentral:misc_RNA from 1 species
AAGUCAGCUUCUCUGAAAAUCAUUAGUGGUACCUUAGUAGAACUGUUUACAGAUGUGAUAAUCUAUCUACAUCUUAAAUAUCUACGCAAGAAGGUUUAUACUACUUCUAAAAUUUUUCUCUUAAAGGGACUAGUUUUGACAAU